AGGUGCUAAGAGCUGCAGUGAAAGGGCUGCUUAAAUUGACAGCUGACAACAUAAUCCUGCCUUCUUGUGUCUGUCUCUGUCUGUAUAGUACAUUUUGCCAAGGGUGUGACUUUUGAGCAAGACCAUUGUUUGGAGGCAAAGCCAGUCCUCCAGUGAUAAAUGAAUUUCCCUCUACAAGCAAAUUCAGCACCACCUGCAGUACCAGUGUCUCCCUGAUAGCAUCCAGAAUCUUUGCUUACAUCCUGAAAGCCUGAGACUGCUAUAGUUGUGACAGCUUACAUCAUUCCACCUGCCUAUCCAGAGGGACACAGAGAUGUAUGACACCCUGCAACGAUCUUGGCUGUCCUUAUGUUAGAAGAUGUGAAACUUCAGUGAGUGGUGCGAUAGCAGGUUGGACCACUCCCAGUGGGACAAUAUUCCCUUUCGAGCAUGGGAGAAAAUUGCAGUCACGCAACUUUCUGCAACUCAAUAGUGACCAAUUAGGAAGAUACCCAGCUCCCCCAAGCCUGGAUAUCUAAUAAACCAUGACCUGAAAAGUGUCCUUUGCCACAGCAGAUCUUCAGCAGCACUCCUCUUUGUCCAGACUUCUAUUCCAGAUUAUGGGAGAUGGAAAGUCUUUCCAAUGGCCAACAUCAUAAAAGGUUUCUCAGCAGGAUGCACAGCAUUCACUUGGAAGCCUCAUUCCAUUAAUUCUCUUUUCACUAAAAUUAGUUAGAAAGAAGCCAACAAGCUAUCAGAGUGACUUUAAAGGCAACAAACGGUGUUAGUAAUGAGGCAAACAAAUGUCCUUGAAGCGUCUCUCAUCUGCUUGUACCUUACUGUGGCUUUAGCAGAAGUCAUUGUGGUUUUAAUUAACACCUUUCCCUGUGCAAAGUUACCACAUUUUUCUCAAAGACAGCUUUUCCCGAGUGACACUCAAAUAAGAGUUUCUGGAUUUUAUUAUGCCUUCAGAGCCUCAGUUAAUCCAGGGUUUCUUCCAUUUACUUGAGCAGCAAGCUAUUAACACAGAACCCCUCUGAGCAGCGUGCCUGGCCAUAGCCCUUAUCAUGUCAAUGCAUCCCAGAUGUGUCUUGAGCACUGGGCUUCCCAGGAGAUGACCACACUUACAAGCAUCAUCCAGUUGGCUUGCUGGAUCUGUGCCCUGCAUCCUCCUAAAGUGCCAGCAGCACAGAAGGGAA